rnacentral:rRNA from 1 species
AGUAACGCGUGGGUAACCUGCCCUGUACAGGGGCAUAACAGUUGGAAACGGCUGCUAAUACCGCAUAAGCGCACGAGAGGACAUCCUCUUGUGUGAAAAACUCCGGUGGUACAGGAUGGGCCCGCGUCUGAUUAGCUGGUUGGCAGGGUAACGGCCUACCAAGGCGACGAUCAGUAGCCGGUCUGAGAGGAUGAACGGCCACAUUGGAACUGAGACACGGUCCAAACUCCUACGGGAGGCAGCAGUGGGGAAUAUUGCACAAUGGGGGAAACCCUGAUGCAGCAACGCCGCGUGAGUGAAGAAGUAUUUCGGUAUGUAAAGCUCUAUCAGCAGGGAAGAUAAUGACGGUACCUGACUAAGAAGCUCCGGCUAAAUACGUGCCAGCAGCCGCGGUAAUACGUAGGGAGCAAGCGUUAUCCGGAUUUACUGGGUGUAAAGGGCGCGCAGGCGGGCCGGUAAGUUGGAAGUGAAAUCUAUGGGCUUAACCCAUAAACUGCUUUCAAAACUGCUGGUCUUGAGUGAUGGAGAGGCAGGCGGAAUUCCGUGUGUAGCGGUGAAAUGCGUAGAUAUACGGAGGAACACCAGUGGCGAAGGCGGCCUGCUGGA